UGGCAGGCCAUCCUACAAGUACCCAGAC
rnacentral:piRNA from 1 species